GAUGAACGCUGGCGGCGUGCCUAAUACAUGCAAGUCGAGCGAACGGACGAGAAGCUUGCUUUUCUGAUGUUAGCGGCGGACGGGUGAGUAACACGUGGAUAACCUACCUAUAAGACUGGGAUAACUUCGGGAAACCGGAGCUAAUACCGGAUAAUAUUUUGAACCGCAUGGUUCAAAAGUGAAAGACGGUCUUGCUGUCACUUAUAGAUGGAUCCGGGCUGCAUUAGCUAGUUGUUAAGGUAACGGCUUACCAAGGCAACGAUGCAUAGCCGACCUGUGAGGGUGAUCGGCCACACUGGAACUGGGCCACGGUCCAGACUCCUACGGGAGGCAGCAGUAGGGAAUCUUCCGCAAUGGGCGAAAGCCUUACGGAGCAACGCCGCGUGAGUGAUGAAGGUCUUCGGAUCGUAAAACUCUGUUAUUAGGGAAGAACAUAUGUGUAAGUAACUGUGCACAGCUUGACGGUAACUAAUAAGAAAGCAACGGCUAACUACGUG
rnacentral:rRNA from 1 species